rnacentral:lncRNA from 1 species
CCCUUUAUAAUUAAUGCCCUUGAAAAUAUGAAAUGAAUCUUAUAUAUAAAAAGGGACAAAGAAAAAUGUAAAGAGAGUGUUAUAUUUAUGGACGGAAGAAGUAUUGUAAUUUUGCAGUGACAUUUAGUUUUCUAUAUCGUUUAAAAAGAAACAAAGCAAAAAAAUAUAAAAUUAUGCUUAAAUGAACAAACAUAAAAACAAAGAUUGUAUCAAUAUUAUGACGUAAAUAUAAAAUUAUAGGCUCAGAACAAACAUAAAAAUCAAUUUUCAAUUUAACUAGAAUUUUUUUUGGAUAUGCUUAAAUGAACACCACAAUGAUCAUUUCUCGUAUCAUGAUAUCUCAAAAUUAAGAUAAAAUAAUAUUUUUUAUGCUUUAUUUCAUUUCACUUGCAACAUCUUAAAGUACAAAAUCAAGGUUUGUGAAAUUAGAAAAGUUAUAUGAAAAUUCAUUUAUUGGGUGAUCAUAAUAAAUAAAUAAAUAAAUAAAUAAGAACUCAUGGAAUAUUCUAGUAGUGCUUUUGUAUAUUUUUUUGAGUCUGACAAUCAUAAAAUCUUUGGAGCCUU